GCGCUCGUUGUCUAGCGGUUAGGAUAUCGGCCUUCCAAGCCGGUGACCCGGGUUCGAAUGGCAUGGUCAUGUAGCUAUGCCCGAACAUCCCGGUGAGCGCA
rnacentral:tRNA from 1 species